UACGAAGGGGGCUAGCGUUGCUCGGAAUCACUGGGCGUAAAGGGUGCGUAGGCGGGUCUUUAAGUCAGGGGUGAAAUCCUGGAGCUCAACUCCAGAACUGCCUUUGAUACUGAAGAUCUUGAGUUCGGGAGAGGUGAGUGGAACUGCGAGUGUAGAGGUGAAAUUCGUAGAUAUUCGCAAGAACACCAGUGGCGAAGGCGGCUCACU
rnacentral:rRNA from 1 species